rnacentral:tRNA from 1 species
CAGCUUUAGUUUAAGAUUGUAGAAUGUUAAUUUGUCGUGUUAACGGUGAAAGAUUUUCAAGCUGC